rnacentral:rRNA from 1 species
GACGAACGCUGGCGGCGUGCCUAAUACAUGCAAGUUGAGCGCUGAAGGUUGGUACUUGUACCGACUGGAUGAGCAGCGAACGGGUGAGUAACGCGUGGGGAAUCUGCCUUUGAGCGGGGGACAACAUUUGGAAACGAAUGCUAAUACCGCAUAAAAACUUUAAACACAAGUUUUAAGUUUGAAAGAUGCAAUUGCAUCACUCAAAGAUGAUCCCGCGUUGUAUUAGCUAGUUGGUGAGGUAAAGGCUCACUAAGGCGAUGUUACAUAGCCGACCUGAGAGGGUGAUCAGCCACAGUGGGACUGAGACACGGCCCAAACUCCUACGGGAGGCAGCAGUAGGGAAUCUUCGGCAAUGGACGAAAGUCUGACCGAGCAACGCCGCGUGAGUGAAGAAGGUUUUCGGAUCGUAAAACUCUGUUGGUAGAGAAGAACGUUGGUGAGAGUGGAAAGCUCAUCAAGUGACGGUAACUACCCAGAAAGGGACGGCUAACUACGUG